rnacentral:lncRNA from 1 species
GUAUGCAGAGUGCCAAAAGAAUCAUGCUGCCGGUGUCGGUGGUUAUGCUGUUGAUGGUUGCAGAGAGUUCAUGGCCAGUGGAGAGGAAGGCACAGCUGCUGCACUCACUUGUGCUGCAUGUGGCUGCCAUAGAAGCUUUCACAGAAGGGAAGUUGACACUGAGGUCGUGUGUGAGUGCUCUUCACCGUCUUCAACCGCGACUUAACUAGAGAUGAAACUAAAGCUUAAUCAAGGAUUGUUAAUCAGUGGAGGUUAAUUCAUGUCAUGUGUUAACUUUGCUUGUUUCUCUAUAUAUCUGGGUUUGAGGGUUUUGAUCUUCAAGUACUUUCUCUCUCUCUUUUUAAUUUGGUUUUCGUGUUUGAGAUUGUUCAUUUUCCUUGUCGAUUUAUAGGGUUAAUUCAUUGACAUGAGUGGCUAAGACCUCCUUAAUUUGUGAUCCCAUAUUUAUGUACAAAAGAGAGAAGAAGUGUGUUUUGUUCUUGAAUAUGAAUGAAUGAUUCUCCC